AAACACGGAGGAGUUUUCUGUAUCGCUUUUGUGGGAGAACAAAAGAAAACAGGAUAUUGAAAUAACCCCGGGCCACUGCCUGGUCCCGAUCCUGGUCACGUGAGAGGUGCUGGUGUCCGGGGCUUUGAACCUUUCCACAACAUGAACAGCUUAUCUUGUUCCACUCGAUCAAAAACAUUUCAUAAUGCCGGCUCCUUCCACAAGGUCACCUUGAAAUCUCUCCCCUGCUCGAAGCAUCCUGAACCCUCCUUUCCCUUAGAGAAGCAUUCUUGAAAUCAGAGGCAAAUGGACUUCCCCAGCCCUGUUCCCUCUCCAAGAAGAUUGCAUCUUGCCCCUCUGUAACAAGGCACAAAAAAGACGGAAAUAGUUACAGUUUCUUGCAAGCUGGCCAGUCUGGACGAUCCAAAUACCCCAGCACCCCCGGCCCCACGUGCUUACCUGGGCAGUCUUGGCCUCAUGCAAAUUUCUCCUCAGGCAGCUCUGACGCCCCGUGGUCUCUGAAGAUUCCUCGAGGAUGCACUCCCUCCUUUAGUUUUCAUGCGUGCCGCUGCUGCUCUGCUGGGCACCAGUCCUUCCUGCCGUAGGGUUCUCCUCCCCUGGUGGCUCUGCCUCCCCUUUG
rnacentral:lncRNA from 1 species